rnacentral:rRNA from 1 species
UACUCCUACGGGAGGCAGCAGUAGGGAAUCUUCGGCAAUGGACGAAAGUCUGACCGAGCAACGCCGCGUGAGUGAAGAAGGUUUUCGGAUCGUAAAACUCUGUUGGUAGAGAAGAACGUUGGUGAGAGUGGAAAGCUCAUCAAGUGACGGUAACUACCCAGAAAGGGACGGCUAACUACGUGCCAGCAGCCGCGGUAA